UACAGAGGUCUCAAGCGUUGUUCGGAAUUACUGGGCGUAAAGGGCUCGUAGGCGGCCAACUAAGUCAGACGUGAAAUCCCUCAGCUUAACUGGGGAACUGCGUCUGAUACUGGAUGGCUUGGAUUCGGGAGAGGAAUGCGGAAUUCCAGGUGUAGCGGUGAAAUGCGUAGAUAUCUGGAGGAACACCGGUGGCGAAGGCGGCAUUCUGGACCGACAUUGACGCUGAGGAGCGAAAGCCAGGGGAGCAAACGGG
rnacentral:rRNA from 1 species